GCAAUCUAACUCACCACCAUACCGUCCAGAUUUGAUCCCUUCAAUCCUCCUCGACACGGCUAUGGUGCCAACGAUUGUGCCUCCUUAAUGUUCUCCAGUGAUCCACCACCAAUACUACAUGCUACGUUCAUCAUUGCUACCGCAAUGCUAUCAUCGACAUAGUUUGUGAAAUACUUUCGCUUUGAGUCAAAUUUGUUAAUUUUGCGUCCAGAGAAGACGAGAGAGGAGAGCAGACCAUUCACCCCACCACCAGGCCACCACCGGUCCAUGUCCAUCCCUGGCCGCUCCGCUCCCGCCGUGAUCCAGCAACGGGUUCGCUGCUGCCGGUCGCCAUUCACCUGUGUGCCUCAGGAGGAAACAGCUCCCUGGACCUUAUCCUUCUUCACAUUCUACCUCUACAGAUCAGGAACGCCUCGAUGGCCGUCUCUUCCGUUUCUCCUUUCUCUCCCUCCUUGCAAUACACCGGCCAUGAUUCAGGGAUGGAGAAGGGAGGGGGGUAGAGCCACCAUAUCAAGAGGUAGAGUGAAGGAGCCACGCUUGAGAACUUGGCGUGAGUUACUUUGGUCCAGCGGCUACCAAUGUUCCUUUUUUACUUCAGAGUUCUAAAAUCAUGUUGCCUUUCAAGAAUAAGAGGGAGAAAGGUCCAAACAAUCUUUCAAGAUUUGUCACACUCGAUGGAAACUGGAAGCAUCACUCUCCUUGGCUGAAAUCACAGUGGUCAAAUUAUAGAUCACAAGCUGUAGACGAAUUGUUUCUUCUGAUUUCCCAAUCUUCAGAUGGAACUGACCAAUCCGUGUGAUUGAGGAAUCCUUGUGGAGAAAAAGAAUUCAAGGAACCCCGCAGCUCCGAAUACAGAGGUGAGAAAUCGAAUCAAUCGAGCAGUGCUCUGGUGAUCUAUUCAUCUACAUGUUCUGAUCUGCAUGUAUUCCCUGUUUUUCCUCUGCUGGUUCAGCUUUGUUAAACUUAUAGCAGAUAUAAAAUACCUGUAUAUAUAUGAUUAGAACAAGGAAAAUACCGAAAAAGGCUUUCGCCCCGCUUUAUAUAUAAAGCAUAGACCAACAGUGUCCAGUACCACCGCACGCUCCCACCACAAACGCACACACACACCCAAGGCAGGAUACAUAGGCGCUGAGCGCAGCAACACACUCCCUAGCACUACACGAGCCGCCGGGAGCUUCAUCCGUGGACACCGUGAAGAAGUGAAGCCGCAUAUGACGAACCGUGGGCUCCAAGGCGGCGCCUUCAGGAAGGAUACGGCACCGGAGCGCCGCCACCGCCUGAUCCGAGGAUCAGAGUUUCCCCUGGAGCAACACGAUGGGCAGUGAUAGCCGCGAUGACGCCUUCAAGAAGGGGGCGAUCUUCGCCGUCGCCAGUCCGUCCGAAGAUAGAGAGGUUUUCACCCCGGCCAACACACACCGCCACCGAACACCACAUCCCGGCUACCACGCCGCCCACACGGCCGUGGCAGCCGGGCAGCACCGAGGCACGAGCUCUGCCCAUGAGCACCGCGCCACCACCACCAGGGCCGUCGCCCCAGAAUCCAAGACCUUGACACCAAGUCCUCCGAGCCCCACCGAUACCCCAACCGCAGAGACGGGCGGAAAGGCUCCGCCUUUCGCACCCCUGGCCGGUCCCAGCGCCGAGACCCAAUAGGCCGGCGACAAGCCUCCAUCGAUCCGUCCUGCGACACCGCGCGCGAGACGAGCGCAGUCCUGCCGUCGGGCGCGAGACGGGCCGGUCCUGUUGUCGGGCGCGAGACGAGCGCAGUCCUGCUGCCGGGCGCGAGACGGGUCGGUCCUGCUGCCGGGUGCGAAACCAGCUCAGUCCUACGGCACCAGGUGCGAGACGGUCGAUGGACAGCAGCCGGGAGAAGGCCAGCCCACCGGCGAGAGAAGCGAACGGACGCCGAGGAGAGGAGUCGAAGGCCUAUACAGGCAGCCUACAGACGAGCCGACACCAGAACAAUCUGGCCGCCGCCGCAAUCAACCUGCCACCACCACGGCAGCCGCCGGGCACGCACCCGCGCCGCCACCCCGACCAGCCGAGGGGGCCUCGGUCAGGGCCGCCACCCGCAGCCCUAGCCGUUGCGGCCCACGCCGCCAAGAGGCCAGAUCCGGAAGAGCCGCCGCGGCCGCCGUCUCCAACCUCCGGCCCGCACCACCACCACCAACUGUCGCGGUGCCACCACCACCUGCCGCGGCCACGGCAGAGGUGGCCACCGGCAGCCCGCGCCGCCCGCAGCCCGUGCCGCCAUGAGCCAGAUCUGGCCGCGCUGGAGUCGCCGCCGUCUCGGGUACACGCGCCACCCGCCUAGCCGCCCGCCGCGGGGGGAGGCAGGGCGCCGCCCCAGCCCGCCGCGCCGCCAUGGAGCCCGGCUGCAGCUCCACGACCCUGCCCGGGACGCCGGCCCGCGCCAGCACCGCCCGAGCGGGGAGACAAAGGGGCCCCGCCGCCGCCGGCAACAGCAGGGCUUCGCCCGGCUGCGCCCCUGGGCGGCGGCAAGGGAGGAGGAUGGGGGAGGAGGGAGCGGCGGCGAGGGUUGGGGUUGGCCUCCGGGCCGCCUCGCGGGAGACGACGCGGAGGGUUGGGGUUCAACCUGUCCGUGAGGUUUUCUCCGAACAAGCAAAAUUAGCACUCUCUAUCUUGAGUUGUCAGUUUGAUUUACAUACACAUGUCACUAGACUAUGCAUCAUCAAGCAGAAUGUUUAUGUGUGUUGCCAGUAACAAAUUGUAUCAAAUCUUGUGUUAAAACAAUACUAUCAAAUUAACUUUCCAACCAGGAUUUCAAGAAAAAAUAUUGUGCUGGAGCAAGAAAGGGAACAUGGUAAGGAGUGUGCCUACAAGAGUUUCUCUGUUCUCUUCUUAGGGCAUGUACAAUGGUUGAUAAGAUAGUCUUAUCUUAAUUUUUGCAUGUAAUUUAGAGAUGACAAAAAAAUAUGUAUACAAUGGGUCAUCUCUUAGUCUUAUCUUCAAUAACUAGACAUUCCUAAAAACGUGGUGACACAUAUUAUGCUAAGAGAUCAUCUCUUGUCUUAUCUUAAAUAAGAGAAGACAAGCCUUUUCUUAAGAGUUCUUUCUCCUCCACCUCAUCAUUUAUCCUAUGUGGCACUCCUAAGAUAGCACCAUUGUACAUGCCCUUAUUGGUUGCCAUAUGCAGCUUGCGGGUCUCAACUUAAUAAAUACAUCAACCGCGUACCGAAGGAAAAACUCAUUACAUGAAUUCUGAGUAGGUAUUUUCAGUCUUUCGCAAUGUAGUUUGUUUAUUUUUCUCUGCACCAUGAUGUGCUGAUAAAAUUUGGAUAAUCAAUCCAAUUUCCAGUGAUGAUGCCCUAGCUGAUCAUGCUUCUUUACCACAAUCAUUUUCCUGACAGUAGUUGUGCAUGCAGUACAUGUUUUCAGUUGAGCGAACCCUCUUUUAGUUAGAGAUCAAAAUUCAAGCCUGACAUGGCAUAUGAAUGCUCCCAGUUUAGCAAAAGCCGUGAUCUUUCCAACUUUGAGAGUUGAAGGAAAUCUCCGGAUAAAAAAUUGAAGAAUUCAUAUAGCACAGUACAGGGUGAGCAUCCACAUGACAGUUCUAAAGUUGUUUUUACCAUAUGGAAGCUCAUAAGUUAUGAUAAGAAUAAAAAUGCAAAGUUUCAAAAACUUAUGUUUCCAGCAUGAUGGCUCCCCUGUUUCUAUGGUAAUCUUUUUCAAAUAUUCUGAUCAUGGUCCUCUAAGCAUUCCUGGUUUGUCACUUGAGCCUGAACCGUGGGUCGCUGAUCCAACGAACAUUGAUGAAAUCCAUAGAAAAAAGCUUAGCUAACUCUUCAUAACAAAUGGACUGAGUUAGUGCGCGCACUCACCGGCCGGUGCUUCUCAGUUUUUUUAACAUGCUAUAGCAGCUAUACAAUAUCAGAUUUAUGGAAACAUAUUUCACAAUUGGUAAUUAGUGUGUUCUAUUCUCCUUUCCUUGGAUAUUUCUUAUUCUGUUUUAGAAUUAUUAUUUUUCGUCCGCACUUUCAAGUAUUUAUGCGCCUGGGGUCUUUCAUUCUACAGCUGAACAAUUAUAUCUCAAAAUAGCUUGCGCUGCGCCCCCUAUAUUUGAUCCUUCUGCCCUCUUUUAAAUUCAACCUCUAAUUGACGUCUUCUUUCGUUGUUGUUGUAUAUACUUGCACCAAAUUAUACAAAAUGAAAUAUUGUGGAACAGGCAUAUUCAAAACUGUUUUUUGAAGUUAAAUAUCUAAUGUGAGAAGCCUAGAUAUAAGAAAUAUAGGUGUAAGGCGAUUGUUUUGAGGUGUCAAUGCAACUUACAGUACAUGGAUCUGGUUAGAACUUUGAUACUUCUUGCUUUGAUAUGCUGCUACGGUAGCUCAAUACCGAUGAAACAGAAGGAUUGGUCAUGUCACCAAAUGGGUACCACACACAUAUAGAUUGUUGCUUGCUCUCACGAUCCAUGUCAUCCUCGAUCCAUGUUGGUAUGCAUCCUCUCCCUUUCCUUUCCUCUCUACUAAGUUGUCUCUCCUUUUCCUUUAAUUAUUCAUGUGAUCUUUUUUGCUCUGAGAAGCCCUUCAUGAUGCACAGAAGGAUUCAGUUUCUGAAUUCUUAUCAACAGGUUUCAGUUGUCUAUUGCAAAAAUGUUCUAUGUAUAUUAUGUGAGUUAAAGGGUCAACCAAAUGAUCAUAUAUGUAUUUAUAUAGAAUCAUAUCUAUCUAUUGGCAGCCAUGUCUUAUGCAUACAUCUUUGCUGAUUAAAAAAAAUAUGCACAAAGACCUACGUGAAAUAGCUCGAUAAACAAAAAAUACUGCUCGACCGAUUUCUUCCUCUUAUUCACUGUUCCAUUUUAUAACACAAAGCGCUCACAUGGGCUCUCUUGGGCGCGGCGUGUCGCCGCGCCUCUGCCUGCUAGUCAGGAUUAAUUGUUGCUAUCUAGAGUAUUUAUUGAAAGAUGUGUGAUCAGAGAAAAUUAGCUCUAAUCCUAGCGUAAUUAUGGGGAGCACACUUGAAAGCAUCGAUGGUAAAGGAUGUUUAGUUUGAAAACCCCAAGAGAUGGGUGGUAACUUGAGGAAGUAAAUCUGACGCUCCACUGACUUGAUCCAAGGGCCAUGCACCGGUGUCAUUCCUAGCGGUCUCCUAUAAAAGGGGUACGGCAUCCGGAUCUGACCCAAAUUGACUCCCCCCCCCCCCCCCCAAAUCAUCUUGGCCGGCCCUAUGGCGUCCCAAAGCAGCCCGGCCGGAGCGCCGCCCGGUUUCCCUAAACCUACGAACUACCUUCCCGCCGUCGAUCUUCCCCGUGCCCUCGGACGCUGCCGCAUGCUGCUGGACAGGCUGCUGCAACAUGAGGACGGGUGGGUGUUCGCCAAGCCGGUGGAUACAUACGAACUCGGACUCCGCGACUACUACUCCAUCAUCGCCGAACCCAUGGAUCUCGGCACUGUCAGCCGCCGCCUUGAAUUGCGUCGCUACCCGAACCUGCUCUGCUUUGCCAAGGAUGUCCGGCGUACCUUCAGCAACGCCAUGACCUACAACAACAAGGGAGACGAUGUGUAUGAGAGUGCUGCUAAGCUCUCUCGCAUCUUUGAGUCAGGGUGGGCCUCCAUUUUGGCGGCGCUCCCGUCGCCGCCGCCGGUCGCCGUGCGCAGGGCAAGGCUCAAGGAUGAGUUGCCGCGGCUGCCGGUGGACUUGCAGGACAAAGCGGCCAUCAUUAUGACAGACAUAGGCGGGUGGAUCCAGGAGGUGGAUGGGAGGGUUGAGGUGGAUUUGGACAAGGCCGACGAGGCGACUCUUGACAAGCUCGAGUGGCUGCUCGCUCUCGCCACCAUGAGGAAGGAGGCAGGAGCGCUGGAUAAUCAAAUUUGAUGUGGCGCUGCAUGAUUUUACCAGCGUCAAUUGUUUCUCGGUUCCGGAACGCUGUUGACUUAAACAUCGCUUCCCUCUUUUGCGAAUGAGUAUCAGCAUGAUUUCUAAGUGGCUGUAACAUCGCUAGCCUAGAUAUCCCUACUCUGGAUUUGUAUGAAUACCCCAGUGUCAGUGUGGUUGUAAUUUGGGGGUUUGUAGCUGGUCGGUUAUUCUGUCUGUUGUUAUAUUGGAAUUAGACUUUGAACCUGUGAUGAUACUGAAGAACUGCAAGGAUGUGUGGAAGUCAUGUUGUUCGAUUGUUCA